CAGUAGCCGCGGGAAUACAGAGGGUGCAAGCGUUAAUCGGAAUUACUGGGCGUAAAGCGCGCGUAGGUGGUUUGUUAAGUUGGAUGUGAAAUCCCCGGGCUCAACCUGGGAACUGCAUCCAAAACUGGCAAGCUAGAGUAUGGUAGAGGGUGGUGGAAUUUCCUGUGUAGCGGUGAAAUGCGUAGAUAUAGGAAGGAACACCAGUGGCGAAGGCGACCACCUGGACUGAUACUGACACUGAGGUGCGAAAGCGUGGGGAGCAAACAGGAUUAGAUACCCCUGUAGUCCCUGUCUCUUAUAC
rnacentral:rRNA from 1 species